rnacentral:lncRNA from 1 species
CUGAUUGACAGUGUUGGGCGUGAUAACAGAACAGCCACUGGUCACAGCGUUUGCCAUCAAAAGCGUUUUAAGGAAAUACUGGAGUUGGUGUCUCCAUGUGCUAAAUGUCUUGCUGCAGUUGGCAGACUGAUUGACAGUGUUGGGCGUGAUAACAGAACAGCCACUGGUCACAGCGUUUGCCAUCAAAAGUGUUUUAAGGAAAAACCGGAGUUGGUGUCUCCAUGUGCUAAAUGUCUUGCUGCAGUUGGCAGGAUUACAUAUCUUCAGGUGGUAAACAAUUCAGAUCAAGAUUACAGUCACCUUCCAGAAUUAGAUCUCAGUGUCAUGCUCAAUCAGGGUACUCUUCACCAAUCACAAGACCAACUCCUCAUCAAUCAUACAAGCCCUGUAAGGAGUCCGUCUGACUGUGGUGUCAGGUAUCAUCGAUGUUUAUGGUCGCGAGGACUGAGGACUAUGGUAGAGACUUCCACCGAUCUUGAAGGCACUCUGGACCAAGUGUCAGGAAUAUUCUCUUUGUGGGUUGAUAGGGCGAAAUGGACCGUUCAAGGGGGAACAACUAUAGGAUUAGGAUCCUACAGUGCUGUCGAGGAUCCAAUUGUUGCUGCUGGGAACACUGCUGUGUUCGAGAUUGGUGAAAAUGUGACGUGGGUCACGGAGCAGCCGCUGAUGGAUAUAUUGGCAACAUGGCAUCUCCUGUGCAACGUGAAGUACUGA